rnacentral:rRNA from 1 species
AUUGAACGCUGGCGGCAGUCCUAACACAUGCAAGUCGAACGAGUGGCGGACGGAUGAGUAAUGUCUGGGAAACUGCCUGAUGGAGGGGGAUAACUACUUGAAACGGUAGCUAAUACCGCAUACCAUCAGAUGUGCCCAGGUGGGAUUAGCUAGUUGGGGGGGUAAAGGCUUACCAAGACGACGAUCCCUAGCUGGUCUGAGAGGAUGACCAGCAACACUGGAACUGAGACACGGUCCAGACUCCUACGGUAGGCAGCAGUGGGGAAUAUUGCACAAUGGGCGAAAGCCUGAUGCAGCCAUGCCGCGUGUAUGAAGAAGGCCUUCGGGUUGUAAAGUACUUUCAGCGGGGAGGCGUUACCCGCAGAAGAAGCACCGGCUAACUCCGUGCCAGCAGCCGCGGUAAUUC